rnacentral:rRNA from 1 species
AGUGAACGCUGGCGGUAGGCCUAACACAUGCAAGUCGAACGGCAGCACAGUAAGAGCUUGCUCUUACGGGUGGCGAGUGGCGGGCGGGUGAGGAAUACAUCGGAAUCUACUUUUUCGUGGGGGAUAACGUAGGGAAACUUACGCUAAUACCGCAUAUGAUCUACGGGUGAAAGCAGGGGAUCUUCGCACCUUGCGCGAUUCAAUUAGCCGAUGUCGGAUUAGCUAGUUGGCGAGGUAAAGGCCCACCAAGGCGACGAUACGUAGCUGGUCUGAGAGGAUGAUCAGCCACACUGGAACUGAGACACGGUCCAGACUCCUACGGGAGGCAGCAGUGGGGAAUAUUGGACAAUGGGCGCAAGCCUGAUCCAGCCAUGCCGCGUGAGUGAAGAAGGCCUUCGGGUUGUAAAGCCCUUUUGUUGGGAAAGAAAAGCAGCAGGUUAAUACCCCGCUGUUCUGACGGUACCCAAAUAAUAAGCACCGGCUAACUUCGUG